AUGGAGGCAAGUACAGUCAGCGCACCCGCGAACUCGCAAACUAUCCGGCAGUCUCCACCGGCUUUUUCCGGAUCUCCAGGGAACCCGAUGGUGCUGUCCUGCAACGUGGAGGGCAGCGGCGAUUAUUACGUGCACUGGUACCGCCAGUACCCGGGGCAGGGACCGCAGUUCAUGAUCUACAGCUACGGUGCUGACUUCAGAAAUCCAGACGGGGAGGUCGAUGGAUUUACUCUGCAGGCGCUGAAAACGAACGAGAACGAACUGGUGACCAACAGCUUGCGGGUGAAUCACUCGGCCGACUAUUUCUGCGCCUGGAGUCUACACAGUGACGCGCCGAGAGGGAAGAGCUCGACAAAAACCCCAGACGGCCUGUAA